rnacentral:rRNA from 1 species
UACGUAGGUGGCAAGCGUUCUCCGGAUUUAUUGGGUUUAAAGGGUGCGUAGGUGGUCUAUUAAGUCAGUGCUGAAAUAUCCCGGCUUAACCGGGAGGGUGGCAUUGAUACUGAUGGACUUGAGUAAAGUUGAGGUUGGCGGAAUUGACGGUGUAGCGGUGAAAUGCUUAGAUAUCGUCAAGAACACCUAUUGCGAAGGCAGCUAACUAAGCUUUAACUGACACUGAGGCACGAAAGUGUGGGGAUCAAACAGG